rnacentral:tRNA from 1 species
GAUUUAAUAUUUCGGAAAUAAAUGAUUUUGAAAAUCAUUAAAAAAUGUUCAACUCAUUUUUAAAUCU